CUCUUUGAAGCCACAGAUGAAGGAAGGUGGUGCGCACCCACCACCCUCAAUGUGCUGGUGACAUGGUUAAGCUCUAAGUGCUGACCUGAACCGUGGCUCUCUUUAAACAACCUCUGAGGAUUCAGUGGUAAACAAGCACUUUAUAUUCAUGGUGAAUGCACACUGGAAUGCAAGGAAAACCCC